AUACUUACUUGGCGCAGGGGAAACCGUGAUCACGAAGGCGGAUCCCCCAGGUUGAGGACCCUCCAUUGCACUACGGUUGGUUUGACACCUGCGAUGUUCCCUAAAGCGGAACACUCGGGCGUUUAAUUUUUGGUAGUCGGGACUGGCGUGCGCGCGGUCCCGGU
rnacentral:snRNA from 1 species